rnacentral:tRNA from 1 species
AAUUUGUGCCCGGGGCAUAAUAAGGCUUCUAACCUUACCGUGACAGGUUCGACUCCUAUCACAAAUUU